rnacentral:hammerhead_ribozyme from 1 species
AUCCAGUUGACGAGUGCCAAAUAGGACGAAACGCGCAUCUUGGAU